GAGACAGCAGUCGCCGCGGUAAUACGUAGGUCCCGAGCGUUAUCCGGAUUUAUUGGGCGUAAAGCGAGCGCAGGCGGUUAGAUAAGUCUGAAGUUAAAGGCUGUGGCUUAACCAUAGUACGCUUUGGAAACUGUUUAACUUGAGUGCAGAAGGGGAGAGUGGAAUUCCAUGUGUAGCGGUGAAAUGCGUAGAUAUAUGGAGGAACACCGGUGGCGAAAGCGGCUCUCUGGUCUGUAACUGACGCUGAGGCUCGAAAGCGUGGGGAGCAAACAGGAUUAGAUACCCCUGUAGUCCCUGUCUCUUAUACC
rnacentral:rRNA from 1 species